rnacentral:rRNA from 1 species
AACGAACGCUGGCGGCAUGCCUAACACAUGCAAGUCGAACGAGACCUUCGGGUCUAGUGGCGCACGGGUGCGUAACGCGUGGGAACCUGCCCUUAGGUUCGGAAUAACUCCCCGAAAGGGGUGCUAAUACCGGAUAAUGUCUUCGGACCAAAGAUUUAUCGCCUUUGGAUGGGCCCGCGUUGGAUUAGCUAGUUGGUAGGGUAAAAGCCUACCAAGGCGACGAUCCAUAGCUGGUCUGAGAGGAUGAUCAGCCACACUGGGACGGAGACACGGCCCAGACUCCUACGGGAGGCAGCAGUGGGGAAUAUUGGACAAUGGGCGAAAGCCUGAUCCAGCAAUGCCGCGUGAGUGAUGAAGGCCUUAGGGUUGUAAAGCUCUUUUACCCGGGAUGAAAAUGACAGUACCGGGAGAAUAAGCUCCGGCUAACUCCGUG